ensembl:lncRNA
CAUCAUCUCCCUCCCAUCCUCCCAUCCUCUCAUCCUCCCUCCCUCCCUCCCUCCCUCCCUCCAUCUAUCCCGAUCCGUGCUGGACGAGGGGAGGAAAGUGGAAAGUCAGCCAUUCGCGCCCAGCUCCGGACUCGGUCCCUCGCAUCGCGGAUCUCUCCCGUCCCGUCUCCCGUCUCCCGUCUCACGUCCAGUCUCCCGUCCCGCCUGGCGGAGGUCCGCGCCGGACGCGGUUCGAACAGUGCAUUUACCCAAAGCCUCUUUGGCUUCAGAGGCGCUCAGUGAGGAUUUUAGCGGCUCUUCCCGUGGCCCUGUGCACCUCCACGAACGAAGGACCAACUGGGACUACAGCGUGAAACCUUCUAGCAGGUGGAAAACAAAGGACAUCCUCAUCCUCCACGUUCGGUGUCUGAACUUGAACAUUUGGAAGACAGGAGGGAAAAUAGCAGCUUGCUGAAACCCCGCGGGACAGGGGAAGAGUCAACUGACUCCUGCUCCCUCACUCAAGUUUGGAUCUACAUUUUGGCUCAUCCAGUCUUUUCUGGGGAAUAAAGUGUUGGAUAGACUAUGAGGAAAAACUGUGACUAUUCAGCACUGUAGCAAAACAGGAAAUUCUCAAACAUGGGGACUGCACCAGAUACCAUGUCUGUUCUGAAACUGUGAAACGGGAACUGCUCUUGAACCUUUUCCUUCAAACCUUCACUGUCAGGGACAAGCCAGUGACUCGCCUCUCUUACUGUCCUUCAAUCCCCACCACACUUUUUUUUCAUUUGGAAAGCAGCCCUUUACCCC